rnacentral:lncRNA from 1 species
AAAACUAAAUCUCUCAAUAUGUUUCUUUUGAUAUUACAUUUGUCCACGAGACUUCUUUAUAUAGGACUAAGCUACUUCUUAACCUAAUAAUAAUAUUAAAAUAUUCCUAAGUUCGAUAUGUUUUUCUUUUUCCUUAACCCAUCAAACUUCACUUUUAUGACUUAACUUGUUCCUCAAGUUAAGUGGAAUUAUCCAGCAACUGUCUUGGCUAGGAUAAUGCAGAAAAUCUCUAAGAAGCAAUGUCACGUUCCUCGUAUCACCCACAAAGAAUACUUUUUUAAUC